rnacentral:tRNA from 1 species
UGGCUCAGUUGGUUGAGCCUCUGACUUCGGCUCAGGUCACGUGGGUUCAAGCCCCAC